GUCGAACGAGUUCUGAUUAUUGAAAGGUGCUUGCAUCUUGAUUUAAUUUUGAACGAGUGGCGGACGGGUGAGUAACACGUGGGUAACCUGCCCUUAAGUGGGGGAUAACAUUUGGAAACAGAUGCUAAUACCGCAUAAAUCCAAGAACCGCAUGGUUCUUGGCUGAAAGAUGGCGUAAGCUAUCGCUUUUGGAUGGACCCGCGGCGUAUUAGCUAGUUGGUGAGGUAACGGCUCACCAAGGCAAUGAUACGUAGCCGAACUGAGAGGUUGAUCGGCCACAUUGGGACUGAGACACGGCCCAAACUCCUACGGGAGGCAGCAGUAGGGAAUCUUCCACAAUGGACGCAAGUCUGAUGGAGCAACGCCGCGUGAGUGAAGAAGGCUUUCGGGUCGUAAAACUCUGUUGUUGGAGAAGAAUGGUCGGCAGAGUAACUGUUGUCGGCGUGACGGUAUCCAACCAGAAAGCCACGGCUAACUACGUGCCAGCAGCCGCGGUAAUACGUAGGUGGCAAGCGUUAUCCGGAUUUAUUGGGCGUAAAGCGAGCGCAGGCGGUUUUUUAAGUCUGAUGUGAAAGCCCUCGGCUUAACCGAGGAAGUGCAUCGGAAACUGGGAAACUUGAGUGCAGAAGAGGACA
rnacentral:rRNA from 2 species